GGAGGCGUGGAAAGGGAAACCAUAGAGAAGAUGAUACAUAGAUAGUCUCCACUGUGGCCUCUGACUCACUAGGUACAGAGGGAUAACCAUAGAGUAGGAUUGUCUAGUGGGACCUAGAGAGACUCAAGCUGUAAAUUACGACCCACCCUGCCAUUUUUGAUUGGAGACGAUUGAAUCUUAUGACUGUGCGACGCCAUCUUGAGGUCAAGGUUCCGGCUGAUUACCCGCGCGGGGCUUGUUACAGGUUUUCUCACUGUUUGGUAGUUCGUUUUCCAGGAAUUAGAACCUUGAUCUCCUGAUUCUUUGAGGUUCGAUGAACUGAUACCUGGGCGGGACCGAGAACCUCAAUAGAAAGCUCAAAUGUCAUUUGUCCUUCGAAAAGAGCUGCUCACAUCAAGAAAUAACUGGCAACGGCUAUAUUGGGUUUUUUGGACUUUUUGUGAGUACACUCACUACAACUUAGGCGAGGUAACAGGCUCAAAGAGGUUCCUUAUAAAAAGAUGAACACUACCUACUUCCCAAGACUACUGUAAGGAUUAAAUUAACCAAUAUAUGAAGGACAGAAGAUGGCAUUAGAUCCCUUGGAACUGGAGUUACAGAUGGUUGUGAGUCAUCUUGUGGACUCAGAACUGACCCAGGGUCCUCUGCAAAAACAGCAAAACAGCAAGUGCCCUCAACCAAGCCAUUUCUUUUUUUCUUUUUGUUUUUUUGUUUUGUUUUGUUUUGUUUUUUGUUCUUUGUUUUUCAAGACAGCAUUUCUCUGUGUAGUUCGGGCUGUCCUGAAACUCACUUUGUAGACCAGGCUGGACUUGAACUCAGAAAUAUGCCUGCCUCUGCCUCCCAAGUACUAGGAUUAAAGGCAUGCGCCACCACCGCCUAGCAAGCCAUUUCUUUAUUACUUGUAUGAUAUCACUUGUUUAACAAAAUGUUGGGGACUAGUGAGAUGGCACAGCAGAUAAAAGUGACAAGUUAAGUUCAGUCCCUGAAUUUACAUAGUAGGAAGGAAGACCAAACUUGCACAAGCUGAACAUUGCAGGAUACACUUAAGUGCACAAAUAUGCACACAUAUUAAGCUAUAAAUAAAUGUAAAAUAUAAUCACCAAGAACUAAGCCAGGUAGCGAUG